rnacentral:rRNA from 1 species
GAUGAACGCUGGCGGCGUGCCUAAUACAUGCAAGUCGAGCGGUAAGGCCCCUUCGGAGGUACACGAGCGGCGGACGGCUGAGUAACGCGUAGGAACGUACCCCAAAGUGAGGGAUAAGCACCAGAAAUGGGGUCUAAUACCGCAUGUGAUCUAAGGAUUAAAGCUUCGGCGCUUUGGGAACGGCCUGCGUUCGAUUAGCUAGUUGGUGAGGUAAAAGCUUACCAAGGCGACGAUCGAUAGCUGGUCUGAGAGGAUGAUCAGCCAGACUGGGACUGAGACACGGCCCAGACUCCUACGGGAGGCAGCAGUAGGGAAUUUUCCACAAUGGGCGAAAGCCUGAUGGAGCAACGCCGCGUGCAGGAUGAAUGCCUUCGGGUUGUAAACUGCUUUUAUCUGUGACGAUUAUGACGGUAGCAUAUGAAUAAGGAUCGGCUAACUCCGUGCCAGCCGCCGCGGUAA